AUUGAACGCUGGCGGCAUGCCUUACACAUGCAAGUCGAACGGCAGCACGGGUGCUUGCACCUGGUGGCGAGUGGCGAACGGGUGAGUAAUACAUCGGAACAUGUCCUGGAGUGGGGGAUAGCCCGGCGAAAGCCGGAUUAAUACCGCAUACGAUCUACGGAUGAAAGCGGGGGACCUGCGGGCCUCGCGCUAUAGGGUUGGCCGAUGGCUGAUUAGCUAGUUGGUGGGGUAAAGGCCUACCAAGGCGACGAUCAGUAGCUGGUCUGAGAGGACGACCAGCCACACUGGGACUGAGACACGGCCCAGACUCCUACGGGAGGCAGCAGUGGGGAAUUUUGGACAAAGGGCGAAAGCCUGAUCCAGCAAUGCCGCGUGUGUGAAGAAGGCCUUCGGGUUGUAAAGCACUUUUGUCCGGAAAGAAAUCCUUGGCCCUAAUACGGUCGGGGGAUGACGGUACCGGAAGAAUAAGCACCGGCUAACUACGUG
rnacentral:rRNA from 1 species